GAUGAGGGACGCAGCGAAGCCGACGCCCUGCGCAAGAAAUUCACCACCGUAGAGGACGAACUAAAUAAAAGAAAACAAAAAGAAGAAGCAUAUAUAGAGGAAAUUAAUCAAUUGAAACAGAAGGUUGACUCCCUCAACGAACUAAGCACAAAACUGGAAGGCAUGGAGAAGGAGCACGCUAACCUACGAGAGAAGUAUGAGGAGGUUGAGAAGAGAAAGCUAU